UGUGCCUUCUCUCCAGUGUUUGUCUGAAGAGACUUCCAAAAGAGGUACCAAAGGAAGCCGAACCCAUCCCCUGGCCUCAGAGGGGUCAGAGGUUGGGAGGGACACGCUGGUCUGAGGAUGGACGCAGGAGCGCACUCCCCCGGCUCCCUCUCUGGUGAGACCCCUCCCCACUGGCACCCCACCCGCGGGAAGCAGAGCCAACACUAUCACACCCCACUGGUCCCAGGCCAGCUGCCCAGCCCGAUGCCCUGCCCUUCCUUUCUCAGGGCUGACAGGCUUUCUGGGCUGGAGUUCCUCAUCUGUGAAGUGGGGGUUAUGUUACCAACCUCAGAGGGCUGUGAAAAUGGGACGGUGUCUGUGAACUCCCUCACAUACUGCCUGGCCCUUAGCAGAGCUCCUCGAAAUGUCAGUUCUUUGCUGCCCGGAGCCAGGCUCCUGGUAAUGACCAGGGAGAGAGCCUGCCCUUGACCAAGGAGUGAAAAACUGACCUCAAAAUGUCAGUUCUUUGCUGCCCACUCCAGCCUCCACCCGCUUCUCACAAUCAUUCCCUGAGCGCGCAGCAGCUCACACGGAACAGAGUUCACACGGACUCAUCGAAGUGCCCGUCAUUGGGCAUCCCUCUCCUCCUUGCGUCUGUUUCCUUAUGUGUAAAGUGGGGGCAGGACCACUUCUGAGGACCCAGUUCUCUGAGCACUGGGGAUGAGGUGGGCUCCUGGCCCAGCCACCCCUCUCCCUGCCAGUGAUGCCAGAGACCCCAAAGGCAGAGUGCUCUGUUCUGCUGUUCAGCUACAAACAGCCAAUCCCUCCCUUCACCCUGUGUGUCCCACCCCCGCUCCCCAACCACCCAAGGACUCCUGCACAAAGAACUGUGGUCCAAACCCCCAAGUCAGCUGGGACCAGGUGAUUUUGGUAGCCCUGCAUCCUGGCUUCCAUCCACCCCAGCCUCUGUCUCAGCCUUUGCACCACCAUCCCAGACAGGCAUCCACCUUCUGUCUCUGGCCCUGCUUCUACCCCCACUCCACCUGCCCUCAUGUCUGCCUUCCCCUUCUGCACCCCUGCUGGGCUCCUGAGGAACAGGAUGGAAGGAGAGUGUGUCCCCUACCCCCAGCUUCCAGUCUCAGGAGGGUCAGAACAGACAAUACAGGUCAAAGCAGCAAGGCUAAGGGUGACAGGUACACAACGCUGCAGCCCCCAGAUCUAGAGACAAGAUUAGGAUUUCGGUCAGAGGGGGAUGAAGCACACACCAUCCCCACUCCCACCCAGCACCACCAUCCUUCCCCUUCCUCCUCCUGGGUCAGGGUCGAAAAGUGGAGAAUCCCCAGAAAUCCUUUAGAGUCCUCUGAUGAAGCCUCCCGAGUCCUGCCUUCGAGCCAGUGGGGAGGGGGAGAGGAGGAUGAUUACAGGGCGGCCCCCCCAGGGGCAUCUCAAGACACUCCCAGGACAGCAUGGACAGGCAUGGACCCUCCUGCCCUGUGGCUCCUGCCAGGACCCCUCCCCUGAGCUGCCCAGUGGGUGAAAGUGGGCAGUGGAGAAAGAAAGUCCAGGGUCAAACGGGAAGGUGGCACCCCCUACCAGCAGAAGCCCAGAAACACGAGCAGAGCCAGGGGCCCCUGCAGGGCUGCUGUGCCCCUUCUCUCUUCCCAAAUAGGAGUGAGCACACCUGGACCUCUGAGAGGGCAGGAGGGUGGCUCCUCUCCACUCCACGGACAAACAGGAGUGGCCUGGCUACAUAAAUGUGUGCCAUCCUCACUGCUACCUUUGGAAUAGCAACUUCGAAAGGGAACCACCCUUUGGGAAAGACCAAGGGUCCCAGGCCUGCCCCGCCUAUCACUCCAAAGCUCCUCCUUGGCAGUACCCGCCCCCCACCCCUCUGCUACAGUGGGGGUGACCUCCCACUGUCAGACAGUGGAAGGGGCUGCUUGUCAGAAGGACAGGCCUUCCGUCUCCACUCUUUGCCCCUGACUGGAAUACAAGAGUUCUGUGGCCCUUCACAUUGUCACAGGGCUAUCGCUGCUGCUCAGGCCCUGGGGACCCGCCAGAGUGGGACACCGUGCUCCAACACAGGUAUGUGUGUGCAUGACUAACACAGAACUUGCCUGAAGACUGGACGGAAACUUAGAAGCCAGCCCUGGGUCCUAGAGCGAGGCUAGGACUGGGCACGUAGAGGGAAACAGCACAUCCCUUCCUGAAGCCCCUUUCUAAGGUAGGCACUGGGGUGCCCACAGCUGUGGAGGCAGAACGGGCUGAACUCUGUAUCAUCCCUCCUUUGCCCCUGGACAUUCUUGGGCAGUGUCAAUGGCACUGAAAGGCCACCAGCUGGGGUUUGGCAAGACUAAGGGCCUGGAAAGAAGGAAGGGAAGGGGUGAGGCGCUUCUCCCUCCAGUCCUGGUGCUGGCAUCAGUCUGGGAGCUGAUGGGAUGAAGAGGUGACCUCUGAAUUCAGCCUCUUGAAUCAGAAGGCGGUUCUCAAAUUGGGCUGAGCGCAUUGCUAAAGAGCCAGCCCUGAGCACAGGUCAGAGGGAAGAGAAUACGCACUGCCCCAGGCCCCUUGCAGGCCUUAGCACCAAAAGUCUGGCACCAGCUGGCCAACCCCCAAAAUCUCAUACCCCCAUCCAUCCUGGCUGACUGGAAUGGGCAGUGAUGGCAGCCAGGGACAGCCCAAAGAGAACUGGGGCCCUGAUACAGGACAGAGAUUCAGGCCCCAGACUAGGCCCUGGAGUGGGAGUAUGGGAGGAAAAAGAGGCCUUAGGUCCCAGGCUGGGGCAUUGUGGGGAGGAGGACGGGCAAAAUGCAAGGCAUGAAAUGGGGAGGGUGUCCCUUCCAUCCUUCCUCUUGCAAAGGGACAAAUGGAGAGCCAAAGGACAGGGGCCCAUGGAAGGCCCCAACACUGAGAAGAAAGCAGCAAUUUGGCCAACAUCUGGGGGUUCCAGGGGAGCAGGCCUGCUCCUCGGCAGAGGGCAGCUGCAAGGUUCCAUGCCACCCCAUGGCUGUCCCAGGCCAAGCCUAAGCUAGACCUGGCUGUCCUGCUGCCAUCCAGUGCUGGGCAGCGGUGCUGGGACUCAUCCCCACAGCACGACAGAGUGACCGGUCUAUGACACAAAGGAGCUCAGGGCCCCUUGAGGUGAAGCGAAGGGCCCAGCUCCUGCUAGAAGACAUAGAUCUUGUCCCGCUGCACAGUAUCCAGGUCGUCAUCCAGUGUCAGCAACACCUGGGGUGUGGACGCCAGAUCAGCCACAGAGAAGGAGGCAGCUGCUACCUUCACGUACCCACCCGGCUCGGCCGGGAGGCCCGCUUACCAGGAAGGACCCGAACAUGGCGAUGGAGGAGAGGAAGUGCCAGAUGUCGUGGUCGUCAAAGAAGUCGAGGAGGAUGCAGUCCCGGUUGUGCUCCCUCGACUCUGCAGGGGUUUUCUUGGGGAGCAACAAGAAAAACUGCCGAAUGACCCUGCUCUGGCAGGGCAAGGGCCAGACCCAUCUGCCAUCUUGCUCCUGGGCACCCCUCUCUCCAGCCCCAGGCAGGACAGCAGCAAUUCUGACCUGUCCCUUGUCCUUGUCCCUACCCCUUCCCGAUCUAACAAAUGGCCUUUGGUUACAAACUUC
rnacentral:lncRNA from 1 species